rnacentral:rRNA from 1 species
UACGUAGGGGGCAAGCGUUGUCCGGAUUUAUUGGGCGUAAAGAGCGUGUAGGCGGUUCGGUAGGUCCGUUGUGAAAACUCGAGGCUCAACCUCGAGACGCCGAUGGAAACCCUCGAACUAGAGUUCGGCAGGGGAGACUGGAAUUCCUGGUGUAGCGGUGGAAUGCGCAGAUAUCAGGAGGAACACCGGUGGCGAAGGCGGGUCUCUGGGCCGAUACUGACACUGAGAAGCGAAAGCGUGGGGAGCGAACAGG